rnacentral:rRNA from 1 species
GUCCUUUUGAAUAUAAUUUAAGGUCUAAUCUGCCCACUGAUAAUUUAAAUGGCCGCGGUAUUUUGACCGUGCAAAGGUAGCAUAAUAAUUAGUUUUUUAAUUGAAAGCUGGUAUGAAUGAUUGGAUGAGAAAAAAGCUGUCUCAAAAUUAAUUAUUUAGAAUUUUAUUUUUAAGUUAAAAAGCUUAAAUAUUUUUAAAAGACGAGAAGACCCUAUAGAGUUUAAUAUUUAAAUAAUUAUUAAAUAGAGGAAUUUAAAUUUUUAUAAUUAUUAUAUUUAUUUUGUUGGGGAGACAGAAAAAUUGAACAAACUUUUUUUUUAUUUAAACAUUUAUAAAUGAUUUUAUGAUCCAAUAAUAUUGAUUAGAAGAAAAAAUUACCUUAGGGAUAACAGCGUUAUUUUUUUUUAGAGUUCAAAUCGAAAAAAAAGAUUGCGACCUCGAUGUUGGAUUAAAGUUAAGUUUAGGUGUAGAAGCUUAAAUUUUAGGUCUGUUCGACCUUUAAAACUUUACAUGAUCUGAGUUUAAAUCGGUGUGAGCCAGAUUGGUUUCUAUCUUUAAUUGAAGUUAAUAUUUUAGUACGAAAGGACCAAGUAUUAGAUUUAUAAUUUAUGUAAAGAUUAUUAUUAAUUAUUAUUUUGGCAGAUUAGUGCAAUAAAUUUAGAAUUUAUUUAUGUAAGUAUAUUACAGAUAAUAUAUGAUAUUAAAAGAUUUAAUUUUAGUUGUUAUUUCUUUAUUUAUUUUAAUUAUUAUAGUAUUAGUAAGGGUAGCUUUUUUGACUUUAUUAGAACGAAAGGUUUU